UGUGAGUAGAACAGUGUGUAUCUGUAGGUGCAGUGUGUACUGUGAGUAGAACAGUGUGUAUCUGUAGGUACAGUGUGUAUUGUGAGUAGAACAGUGUGUAUCUAUAGGCGCAGUGUGUACUAUGAAUAGAACAGUGUGUAUCUGUAGGUACAGUGUGUACUGUGAGUAGAACAGUGUGUAUCUGUAGGUACAGUGUGUACAGUGAGUAGAACAGUG